rnacentral:rRNA from 1 species
GGGCGGUCUCCUCCUAAAGAGUAACGGAGGAGUACGAAGGUGCGCUCAGACCGGUCGGAAAUCGGUCGUAGAGUAUAAAGGCAAAAGCGCGCUUGACUGCGAGACAGACACGUCGAGCAGGUACGAAGUAGGUCUUAGUGAUCCGGUGGUUCUGUAUGGAAGGGCCAUCGCUCAACGGAUAAAAGGUACUCCGGGGAUAACAGGCUGAUA